AUUGAACGCUGGCGGCAGGCUUAACACAUGCAAGUCGAGCGGGGUGAUGGUGCUUGCACUAUCACUUAGCGGCGGACGGGUGAGUAAUGCUUAGGAAUCCGCCUAUUAGUGGGGGACAACAUCUCGAAAGGGAUGCUAAUACCGCAUACGUCCUACGGGAGAAAGCAGGGGAUCACUUGUGACCUUGCGCUAAUAGAUGAGCCUAAGUCGGAUUAGCUAGUUGGUGGGGUAAAGGCCUACCAAGGCGACGAUCUGUAGCGGGUCUGAGAGGAUGAUCCGCCACACUGGGACUGAGACACGGCCCAGACUCCUACGGGAGGCAGCAGUGGGGAAUAUUGGACAAUGGGGGGGACCCUGAUCCAGCCAUGCCGCGUGUGUGAAGAAGGCCUUAUGGUUGUAAAGCACUUUAAGCGAGGAGGAGGCUCUCUUGGUUAAUACCCAAGAUGAGUGGACGUUACUCGCAGAAUAAGCACCGGCUAACUCUGUGCCAGCCGCCGCCGUAA
rnacentral:rRNA from 1 species